UGGGGAAUAUUGCACAAUGGGCGAAAGCCUGAUGCAGCGACGCCGCGUGAGGGAUGACGGCCUUCGGGUUGUAAACCUCUUUCAGUAGGGACGAAGCGCAAGUGACGGUACCUGCAGAAGAAGCACUGGCUAACUACGUGCCAGCAGCCGCGGUAAUACGUAGGGUGCGAGCGUUGUCCGGAAUUACUGGGCGUAAAGAGCUCGUAGGCGGUUUGUCACGUCGUCUGUGAAAUCCUAGGGCUUAACCCUGGACGUGCAGGCGAUACGGGCUGACUUGAGUACUACAGGGGAGACUGGAAUUUCUGGUGUAGCGGUGGAAUGCACAGAUAUCAGGAAGAACACCGAUGGCGAAGGCAGGUCUCUGGGUAGUAACUGACGCUGAGGAGCGAAAGCAUGGGUAGCGAACAGG
rnacentral:rRNA from 1 species